UACGUAGGGGGCAAGCGUUAUCCGGAAUUAUUGGGCGUAAAGAGUGCGUAGGUGGUUUUGUAAGCGCGAGGUGAAAGGCUAUGGCUCAACCAUAGUAAGCCUUGUGAACUGUAAGACUUGAGUGCAGGAGAGGAAAGUGGAAUUCCUAGUGUAGCGGUGAAAUGCGUAGAUAUUAGGAGGAACACCAGUGGCGAAGGCGACUUUCUGGACUGUAACUGACACUGAGGCACGAAAGCGUGGGGAGCAAACAGG
rnacentral:rRNA from 1 species